rfam:Triticum aestivum genome assembly, contig: Triticum_aestivum_CS42_TGACv1_scaffold_624048_7DS
AAGGUGGACGAGGAAGAUGUUGUCUCUCAGAGCCUCGCUGGACUCGAUGAGGAGUUCUAUCCUGUGGUAUUUGCCAUGUGUUCCCGGGUUGAGCCCGUUGGGGUCCCGGAGUUGUACUCGCAGCUCCUGAGCUUCGAGA